rnacentral:rRNA from 1 species
UGCUAGUCGCGUGCUUCAGCCAAAACGAGGCACGGCAAACAGCUCAGUAACACGUGGCUAAUCUGCCCUUAGGACGCGAACAACCCCGGGAAACUGGGGCUAAUUCUCGAUAGGUGAAGAACUCUGGAAUGAGUCUUUGCCUAAAAGAGCUUACGUUAUGCUCGUAAGUUUCGCCUAAGGAUGAGGCCGCGACCGAUCAGGUUGUUGGUGAGGUAAUGGCUCACCAAGCCUUUUACCGGUGCGGGCCGUGAGAGCGGGAGCCCGGAGAUGGGCACUGAGACAAGGGCCCAGGCCCUACGGGGCGCAGCAGUCGCGAAAACUUUGCAAUACACGAAAGUGUGACAGGGCUAUCCCGAGUGCCAUCCGCUGAGGAAGGCUUUUACCCAGUCUAGAACGCUGGGGGAACAAGGAGAGGGCAAGUCUGGUGUCAGCCGCCGCGGUAAUACCAGCUCUCCGAGUGGUGUGGAUGUUUAUUGGGCCUAAAGCAUCCGUAGCUGGCUAGGUAAGUCCCCUGUUAAAUCCACCGAAUUAAUCGUUGGAUCGCGGGGGAUACUGCUUGGCUAGGGGACGAGAGAGGCAGACGGUAUUUUUGGGGUAGGGGUGAAAUCCUAUAAUCCCAGGAAGACCACCAGUGGCGAAGGCUGUCUGCUAGAACGCGCCCGACGGUGAGGGAUGAAAGCUGGGGGAGCGAACCGGAUUAGAUACCCGGGUAGUCCCAGCUGUAAACGAUGCAGACUAGGUGUUUGGACGGCCACGUGCCGUUCUAGUGCCGCAGGAAGCUGUUAAGUCUGCCGCCUGGGGAGUACGAUCGCAAGAUUGAAACUUAA